CCUACGGGAGGCAGCAGUGGGGAAUUUUCCGCAAUGGGCGAAAGCCUGACGGAGCAACGCCGCGUGAGGGAUGAAGGCCUCUGGGCUGUAAACCUCUUUUAUCAAGGAAGAAGAUCUGACGGUACUUGAUGAAUAAGCCACGGCUAAUUCCGUGCCAGCAGCCGCGGUAAUACGGGAGUGGCAAGCGUUAUCCGGAAUUAUUGGGCGUAAAGCGUCCGCAGGCGGUCUUGUAAGUCUGUCGUUAAAGCGUGGAGCUUAACUCCAUUUCGGCGGUGGAAACUACAAGACUAGAGUGUGGUAGGGGCAGAGGGAAUUCCCGGUGUAGCGGUGAAAUGCGUAGAUAUCGGGAAGAACACCAGUGGCGAAGGCGCUCUGCUGGGCCAUAACUGACGCUCAUGGACGAAAGCUAGGGGAGCGAAAGGGAUUAGAUACCCCUGUAGUCCUAGCCGUAAACGAUGAACACUAGGUGUCGGGGGAAUCGACCCCCUCGGUGUCGUAGCUAACGCGUUAAGUGUUCCGCCUGGGGAGUACGCACGCAAGUGUGGAACUCAAAUGAAUUGACGGCUGNGACGNGCGAGCGACGACGAGGGAGUAGG
rnacentral:rRNA from 1 species